AUCCAACGUGGCCAUGCCCACACGAUCAGCUACAAACGACGAAAUCCAAUUCCUGUCUUUGAUACGAAAGACCCUCUGGUUCAUGCUGAGGUGGCAAGUUUUUUAUGGUUGAUUAUGCUGUUUGGAAACGGCUGUUUAAUCUUUUAUCCGUGGUGUGUGAUGGGAAACGGUUGUCCACGUGCCCGCACGCGUUGGGCUCACACGGGGUUGCGGUCGACGCCUCUCGGCCUUGCGUCUCCCGUGGGCCACCGGAACCCGAAUCUUUGGUUGGACUCCUCGUUGCGUGGGCAAACUAAGCGCUCGUCCAACAACAGCCACCUUUGCGUCUACGUGUCCGCGGUGGGCUUCCACCGAACCCGAUUCUUCUCCAUCGAUUCCGAUCCAUCUCUAUUCGGCUAGUCUUCUUGAUGGACCACGGCAAGCUUGCCGGCCAUCCACCGCCACCGGCACCGCAGCAGCAAGGGUUCCAGGGACUGGGUGAUCGUCCCCGUCGAACACAUCUCACCGAUCCGCCUCUGCUGGGCCCGCGGCAAGGCGCUAUGCUAACAAUCUGAACCAGGCAUCAUCCGGUCAGUGAUGGAGCUUCCCAAACCCUUAGGUCACAAGGACGCGAUCCUCAACGUGCUUUGCUUAGUACCAUAAGAAAUCGGGAGAAAGGCAGGCGGCGCUGCUGGAAAUUUGUGGCACCAUCUUCAAUUCAUGCUGUCAGGAAAUCUCCAACUGUGUUAGCACUCUUCUGAUCUGAGGAUUCAAGCCUUGCUGCGAGCAUAGCCAACUGACCUUUCACGCUCAGAUCAAUAAUAUGUGACCCAUCGUCACAGUAGCUAAUGACAAAGCCUGCAAUCAGCGAUGGAUCGACAAUGUUUUCCAGUCUCAAUUUUCUGAACCCUGUCAGCCUCUGCAUCUUUCUUGAGAUGAGAUUGAUCUGCCUAUCAUCCAAUUUCACAGCAGAAGAGACAGAAAUGACAAGAACAUCACUUGGCUUGGAAGAGUUUUGAUCGCCCUCUUUGCUGGCAUCUUGUGUCACACUGUACUUCUCUUCCUCCAUGAUAGCAUGCAUGAAACUCGGAGUUAAGGGCUGAAACUCCAGGCCGCACACCGGCCUGUUGCAAUUUUCGACAUGUCCAACUUUGUGUUCGUUUACAAGUGAAUGAGAAAGAUUGCAAAUGCUACUGGUGGAUCCAUCGAAUAUGUCAAUGCGUGCAUCAGGGUCGGUUCCAACAUCAGAUACAGCAUAUGAAGGCCGUCCUUGUCUGGAUUCCCUGCCUGCAAUGUUGACAGAGGCAUUCUUCAACGAGCUUAAUGGGUAUGCCUUCAGGGAGGAAACACCAUGCAGAGGCAGACCCAUUUGAAAACGUUGUUGACAGGCAUCCAUGGCAGAACCUUUAAGAGGGCAUGCUGGUUGCCCAUUUGGAUUAAUGGAUUGGUAUAAGAUCUUCAUCUGCAAAAUUGUUACUUAGUCAACUUAUGAUUACCAAUAUAUAAUUGAAUGUUGCAAUGAUUUUUAGGACAAAUGAUUGAGGACAGUAGUGCAAGAUAAAGAUUAUGUUCAUUUCAUCUGUAUAAA